UACGUAGGGGGCGAGCGUUGUCCGGAGUUACUGGGCGUAAAGGGCGCGUAGGCGGUUCGCUAAGUUGAAUGUGAAAACUCUGGGCUUAACCCAGAGCCUGCAUUCAAUACUGGCGGGCUAGAGUUCUGGAGGGGAUAGCGGAAUUCCUGGUGUAGCGGUGAAAUGCGUAGAUAUCAGGAGGAACACCGGUGGCGAAGGCGGCUAUCUGGACAGAGUCUGACGCUGAGGCGCGAAAGCUAGGGGAGCAAACAGG
rnacentral:rRNA from 1 species